AUACUUACCUGGACGGGGUCAAUGGGUGCUCAGGAAGACUCAUGGCCUAGAGCAGUGACCUGCACUGCACUUGGUAUGGGUGCUGCUUUAAGGUCUCCCCGAGAGGGAGAGCCUAUGUCAUAAUUUGUGGCAGUGGGGGAUUGCAUUCGCGCAGCCCCUA
rnacentral:snRNA from 1 species